rnacentral:rRNA from 2 species
GCUGAUGCGUUGUUGGGUAGGGGAGCGUUCUGUAAGCCUGCGAAGGUGGCCUGUGAGGGUUGCUGGAGGUAUCAGAAGUGCGAAUGCUGACAUAAGUAACGAUAAAGCGGGUGAAAAGCCCGCUCGCCGGAAGACCAAGGGUUCCUGUCCAACGUUAAUCGGGGCAGGGUGAGUCGACCCCUAAGGCGAGGCCGAAAGGCGUAGUCGAUGGGAAACGGGUUAAUAUUCCCGUACUUGGUGUUACUGCGAAGGGGGGACGGAGAAGGCUAUGUUGGCCGGGCGACGGUUGUCCCGGUUUAAGCGUGUAGGUGUGUGUUCCAGGUAAAUCCGGUUCACUUUAACACUGAGGCGUGACGACGAGGCACUACGGUGCUGAAGCAACAAAUGCCCUGCUUCCAGGAAAAGCCUCUAAGCAUCAGGUAACACGAAAUCGUACCCCAAACCGACACAGGUGGUCAGGUAGAGAAUACCAAGGCGCUUGAGAGAACUCGGGUGAAGGAACUAGGCAAAAUGGUGCCGUAACUUCGGGAGAAGGCACGCUGACACGUAGGUGAAGUGAUUUACUCAUGGAGCUGAAGUCAGUCGAAGAUACCAGCUGGCUGCAACUGUUUAUUAAAAACACAGCACUGUGCAAACACGAAAGUGGACGUAUACGGUGUGACGCCUGCCCGGUGCCGGAAGGUUAAUUGAUGGGGUCAGCGCAAGCGAAGCUCCUGAUCGAAGCCCCGGUAAACGGCGGCCGUAACUAUAACGGUCCUAAGGUAGCGAAAUUCCUUGUCGGGUAAGUUCCGACCUGCACGAAUGGCGUAAUGAUGGCCAGGCUGUCUCCACCCGAGACUCAGUGAAAUUGAACUCGCUGUGAAGAUGCAGUGUACCCGCGGCAAGACGGAAAGACCCCGUGAACCUUUACUAUAGCUUGACACUGAACAUUGAGCCUUGAUGUGUAGGAUAGGUGGGAGGCUUUGAAGCGUGGACGCCAGUCUGCGUGGAGCCGACCUUGAAAUACCACCCUUUAAUGUUUGAUGUUCUAACGUGGACCCGUGA